rnacentral:rRNA from 1 species
AGGAUUAACGCUGGCGGCGUGCCUAACACAUGCAAGUCGAACGAGGUAGCAAUACCUAGUGGCAGACGGGUGAGUAACGCGUGGUCAACCUACCGUUGAGUGGGGGAUAACUAGCCGAAAGGUUAGCUAAUACCGCAUACGUGUCCGAGGGGCAUCCCUUGGCCAUAAAAGGAGCAAUCCGCUCGAUGACGGGACCGCGUCCCAUUAGCUAGAUGGUGGGGUAACGGCCUACCAUGGCACCGAUGGGUAGCUGGUUUGAGAGAGCGACCAGCCACACUGGGACUGAGAAACGGCCCAGACUCCUACGGGAGGCAGCAGUGAGGAAUUUUCCGCAAUGGGCGCAAGCCUGACGGAGCGACGCCGCGUGUGGGAAGAAGGGCCUUCGGGUCGUAAACCACUGUCGAAGGGGACGAUAAUGACGGUACCCUUGGAGGAAGCCCCGGCUAACUACGCGCCAGCAGCCGC